AUGGCGGAGGCAGCUCUUCUUCUUGUCACCACAAAGAUCGGAGUAGCUGUGGCAAAGGGAGCACUGAGCUACACUGGACUUCCAAAGAAAGCUGGGUAUGUUGCAGAACUCCCAAGUAACAUGAGAGUGAUAAAGAACGAUCUUGAGCUUAUCCAAGCAUUUCUCAAGGAUAUUGGCAGGAAAGGUUGGACAGAUCGAGUCCCUGAAAUUUGGAUAGGGCAAGCCCGAAGAUUGGCGUAUGAGAUGGAAGACAUUGUGGAUCAGUUUAUUUAUGUGGUUGGUAAACACCACCACGAAGCGGCAUGGUGGGGUUAUGUGAAGAAAAUCGUGAAGAAACCCAAGUCUCUGCUUACACUGGAUGAAAUUGCUACCGCUCUUAAUAUGAUAAACCGAGAGCUUAUACAGCUUAAACAAAAUAGAGACUGGUUUCAACCAAUAAUCGAUGUGAGUGAUGUUCCUGCAACAAGUUAUGACAUCCAACACCAACAGUACCUUCCUGGAUAUGAUUACUCAAUCUCUGAUAAUGAGCUUGUAGGAUUAGAAAAAAAUAAAGAUGACUUGAUGAAGUCACUGGAUUUGGGAGUUUCUUCAAACCUACAGAUCUCUGCUGUGUGGGGUAUGGGUGGCAUUGGGAAAAGCACUCUUGUCAAUCAUGUGUUUACGGCGUCCAAUUUUGACUGCAAGGCAUGGGUUUCUGUCUCUCAAUCAUAUAAGCUAGAUGAUAUUUGGAGAAGCAUGAUGAAUGGAAUCAAAUCUAAAGAGGAGAAAGAAUUUGAUGCUGAGAAGAUGAGCAGCAUAGAGCUGACAGAUAAAUUGAAGGAAAUCCUAGGGACAAAGAGAUACUUGAUCGUACUGGAUGAUGUGUGGGCAGCCAAAGUUUUUUUCGAAAUUAAACAUGUUUUUGUUGAUGAGCACAUGGGAAGCAGAAUAAUAAUCACAACAAGAACUAAGGAAGUUGCAGCAGCUCAUGAUGGCUGCAUGAUCGAAGUGGAGCCUCUUGACGAGAAGAAGGCAUGGCUUUUAUUUUGUAGGAAGGCAUUUCCAAGAAUUGAAAACCACAUCUGCCCCAAAGAGUUACAUGAGUAUGCUAAAUCCAUUGUGGAGAAGUGUGGUGGUUUACCGCUAGCUCUUGUGACCAUAGGGAGCAUACUGUCUCUUAAAGUCAAAACUGUUACAGAGUGGAGGCUAUUUCAUGACCAGCUUAUCUCGGAGCUACACAACAAUGACAACCUAAGUCGUGUGCAGAAUAUUCUGAAUCUAAGCUACAAAUACUUGCCUGACUAUUUGAAGAAUUGUUUCCUGUAUUGUGCCAUGUUCCCAGAAGACCACAUGAUCCACAGAAAAAGAUUGAUUAGAAUGUGGCUUGCAGAAGGGUUUAUUGAACAAAUUGGAAAUUGCAGUUUAGAAGAUGUUGCUGAAGGUUACCUGACACAGCUCGUUCAACGAAGCAUGCUUCAUGUGGUAGAGAGGAACAGUUUUAACAGGAUCAAAUGUGUUCGAAUGCAUGAUCUUGUGCGUGAAUUGGCCAUUUUCCAGUCCAAGAGAGAGAGUUUCGGUACAACUUAUGAUGAUAGUCAUGGGGUGAUGCAGGUGGAGUCAGAUUCUCGUCGUUUGUCAGUGCUCCAAUGCAAAAAUGAUAUUCAACCAAGCAUAGGUCAAUGCAGGCUUCGUACCUUCAUAGUAUUUAGCACCAGCAAGACAUCAUCUUCAUUGUUUCAGUCAGAAUCUAAAUACCUUGCUGUGUUGGAGCUAUCAGGAUUACCUAUUGAGACUAUUCCAGACUCAAUUGGUGAGUUAUUCAACCUUAAAUAUUUGGGCCUUGACAAGACCGAUGUGAAGAUACUCCCAAGAUCUGCCGUGAAGCUUCACAACUUAGAAACACUGAGUCUUCAAGAUACAAACUGUCUGCAUCUCCCUCGAGGGUCUGAAAAACUAAAGGGAUUGCAGCACAUUUUUAUGUAUAAAGUGCUGGAUAAAGCAUUCUCGGUUACCAACAGUGUUGAACCUAUGGAACCGUUUGACGGACUGUGGAGUUUGAAGAACUUGCAUACCCUGAAGGCCGUUCGAGCUAGUGAAAUUUACGUUGCAAAACUAGCAAAUUUAUCUCAGCUGAGGACCCUUAGCAUUAUAGGGGUAAGGAGCAUCCACUGUGCACAGCUGUGUGACUCUCUGUGA
rnacentral:rRNA from 1 species